CCUACGGGAGGCAGCAGUGGGGAAUUUUGGACAAUGGGCGCAAGCCUGAUCCAGCAAUGCCGCGUGCAGGAUGAAGGCYUUCGGGUUGUAAACUGCUUUUGCACGGAACGAAAAGCUUCUGGUUAAUACCUGGGAGUCAUGACGGUACCGUAAGAAUAAGCACCGGCUAACUACGUGCCAGCAGCCGCGGUAAU
rnacentral:rRNA from 1 species